rnacentral:rRNA from 1 species
GACGAACGCUGGCGGCGUGCUUAACACAUGCAAGUCGAACGGAAAGGCCCCUUUGGGGGUACUCGAGUGGCGAACGGGUGAGUAACACGUUAGUAACCUGCCCUUGACUUCGGGAUAACUUCAGGAAACUGGGGCUAAUACCGGAUAGGAAUCCUUGCUGCAUGGUGGGGGUUGGAAAGCUUCGGCGGUUUUGGAUGGACUCGCGGCUUAUCAGCUUGUUGGUGGGGUAGUGGCUUACCAAGGCUUUGACGGGUAGCCGGCCUGAGAGGGCGACCGGCCACAUUGGGACUGAGAUACGGCCCAGACUCCUACGGGAGGCAGCAGUGGGGAAUAUUGCACAAUGGGCGGAAGCCUGAUGCAGCAACGCCGCGUGCGGGAUGACGGCCUUCGGGUUGUAAACCGCUUUCAGCAGGGGCGAAGCUUGUGGUGACGGUACCUGCAGAAGAAGCACCGGCUAACUACGUG